GAUGAACGCUGGCGGCGUGCCUAAUACAUGCAAGUCGAGCGAACAGACGAGGAGCUUGCUCCUCUGACGUUAGCGGCGGACGGGUGAGUAACACGUGGAUAACCUACCUAUAAGACUGGGAUAACUUCGGGAAACCGGAGCUAAUACCGGAUAAUAUAUUGAACCGCAUGGUUCAAUAGUGAAAGACGGUUUUGCUGUCACUUAUAGAUGGAUCCGCGCCGCAUUAGCUAGUUGGUAAGGUAACGGCUUACCAAGGCAACGAUGCGUAGCCGACCGGAGAGGGGGAUCGGCCACACUGGAACGGGGCCGCGGUCCAGACGACUACGGGAGGCAGCAGUAGGGAAUCUUCCGCAAUGGGCGAGAGCCUGACGGAGCAACGCCGCGUGAGUGAUGAAGGUCUUCGGAUCGUAAAACUCUGUUAUUAGGGAAGAACAAAUGUGUAAGUAACUAUGCACGUCUUGACGGUACCUGAUCAGAAAGCCACGGCUAACUACGUG
rnacentral:rRNA from 1 species